GUGAAAGAUGCUGCCUUCGUGGUUGCCAAGUGUGGACCGCUGGCGGCCGUUGGCUGCCGCAUCUGUGCAAACAAGCGACCUCAUGGAAUCUCGAUCAUGACGAAAUUUAAAGAUAACAACGAGAGAUUCUCAAGAAAUGGGACACAGUCAUAAUGUGUCAUGGAUAUUAUGUCCGGGGAAGAGACGAUAGGCUAUCCAAAUCAAUAAUUCAUCACGAUUGUGUUCAACGAUAGAAUUAUUAUUCAAACAAUUGCAAGCUUCAAGUAAAUACAGUCACAACUUGACAAAAGGGAGGACAGAAGGAAAAAAGCUGGAAAAGACCAGACAAGCUUACUUGGGCAACGCCGGAUAAUACCCGCUAAGUGUAGAUACAUAAAUUAAAAACUAAAUAUUCAAAUGCUGUAAAACAUAU